CAGACUCCAAGCAAAGAGAUGAGACCAUAAGCAAGAAAAAGCCAUGAAAAAGAGUCGCAUGAAGUACGCUCGGCAGUUUGAGAGAAUCGGGUUGGUUGCCAAUCUUCUCUACAAAGCCUGACUCUGCAGCUUAUCUGGCCAGAACAAGGAUCCUGUACAGCCUCUUUGGUGCUGCAAAAUUGCAUACAGGUUUGGAUCUCUACUUCUUCAAGACCUCUUCAGUUAAAUUUAAGACAUAAUCCCAAUCUGGGGUCCUGAAGAGUACCAACAAGCCUACCCAGACCAGAAAAGGCAUCAACCUCUGCCAGGUUUCAGCUAGGAGAGAUUUGUUUAUUCAAUUCUGUACAACCUGAGGGUAAACAGGUAAAGCGAGGAUUGGAAACUGUCUGAGCCAUACUGUCUGAAAAAAGGGGAGUAUAGAUUAAAAAUUACUAUUUCCAGGCUAUGAGCAGUAGGUAGUUAAAUCCUGGCUAGAAUGUUCUUGGGCAGGAGGUGACAACUCCAGGCCUUGCCUGAAAAAGAAGAAGGUCCUCCCUCUAUCCACCAUCAACCAGUGGGAGACAUGGGCAGGCCAACUCCAGGCCUUGCCUGAAAAGAAGAAAGUCCCUCCCUCUAUUCACCAUCAUCCAGAGGGAGAGAUGCUCAGGCCAACUCCAGGCCUUGCCUGAAAAAGAAGGGCCCUCCCUCCAGUCCAUCU